AUAUCGUAAAGAUUUAUACCUAUACGCUCGGUGUUAGACGGUGAAAAGCGAAAAAAAAAACUCAUCGAGACCCCGCAAAAAUUACCACACGUGUUAUAUAGGUACUAAACGAGUGGUCGUAUUUUUAAUUGCCGCCAGCAUUCCGAUAACAAAACAACUGUCAACAACGCGGAUACGAAACGCCAAUCGUGUUUUUGACAAACGUUCGAACGUACUUAUCGAAAUCACUCUAAUAUGGGAUUUACAGUUUAUGACAGUUUGGAAUUUAUAGGCGGACGUAAAAUACAUAGGAAAAAAGGCUAAAUCGAUUAUAAUAACGCUCGGUAACGGAUAGCGUAGAAAAAAAAAAUCACCCUGUAUGUUUAUACGAUCGUUGCACAGCGAAGUGUGUAAACGUUUUUGAUUGAGCAGAAUAUUGUGUAGACGAACCUAUAGGUAGGUGAAUUCUAAGAAAAAAAUUCAUAUUUUUUUUCAACG